rnacentral:rRNA from 1 species
GACGAACGCUGGCGGCGUGCUUAACACAUGCAAGUCGAACGGAAAGGCCCUGCUUUUGUGGGGUGCUCGAGUGGCGAACGGGUGAGUAACACGUGAGUAACCUGCCCUUGACUUUGGGAUAACUUCAGGAAACUGGGGCUAAUACCGGAUAGGAGCUCCUGCUGCAUGGUGGGGGUUGGAAAGUUUCGGCGGUUGGGGAUGGACUCGCGGCUUAUCAGCUUGUUGGUGGGGUAGUGGAUUACCAAGGCUUUGACGGGUAGCCGGCCUGAGAGGGUGACCGGCCACAUUGGGACUGAGAUACGGCCCAGACUCCUACGGGAGGCAGCAGUGGGGAAUAUUGCACAAUGGGCGGAAGCCUGAUGCAGCAACGCCGCGUGCGGGAUGACGUCCUUCGGGUUGUAAACCGCUUUCGCCUGUGACGAAGCGUGAGUGACGGUAAUGGGUAAAGAAGCACCGGCUAACUACGUG